AAUUAAUCUAAUGGAUUAUAAUUCAGUGUGUUUUUUUGUUUUGAAAAAUAGGUAGCGAGCUAUAUGGUUCAUUUAUUAGGAAAAUGAAUUAGGUUUACAUAAUAGAAGCAACAAACAAGGGAGAGAGAGAGAGAGAGAGACCCCCACGCACAAGAAAACAACAAACAAGCGAGAGAGAGAGAGAGAACUAUCAAAAUGUUAUCAACAACCUCUAAGUAGCUAGUUUAGUAAUAAUCGAUAGGAAAAAUAACCUUCAAAUGAAAUAAAAUUGAUCUAAUGCAUUAUAAUUCAGUGUUUUUUUUUUAUUUUGAGAAAUUAAUAAAUAGCGAGUUAUCUACUUCAUUUAUUAGAAAAAUGAAUUAGACUUACAUAAUAGAAAUAGCCGGGCCUCCUAAAGAAAGAGAGGAGCAGAAAAGUGAACGGGACAAAACAGGAGCCAAUAAAAAACGAC
rnacentral:lncRNA from 1 species